CAUGGUAAUAAGACGUCACUAUAUGUGCGACGCGCGCUCGAUGUCUGCACUCGCGCGCUCACCCUCUAGUCGAACUCACUCACUCGGGCACUCAUCCAGUCACUCGUCAUGUGGCGCUGGUCGUGCGUGGCGGUGCUGCUCUCGUCGCUGCUGCUGCUGUGGGGCGGCGCGGACGCUUCGCCUUUCUUCGGCCUGCUGAGCCUGCUGUCCGGCGGCGCGGCGAACGGCACGGGUCUGCUGGAGUCGCUGGCGCUGGCGCACCUGCAGCAGAAGAUCAACAAGCUGCAGGUGCUGGGCGACCUGCUCGCCAUCGCCGCCAACUCCACCGGUCAGUC
rnacentral:lncRNA from 1 species